rnacentral:rRNA from 1 species
GUGGAUUAGAUACCCUGGUAGUCCACGCCCUAAACUGUGGAUGCUAGGUGUGGGGGGUGUCGACCCCCUCCGUGCCGCAGCUAACGCUUUAAGCAUCCCGCCUGGGGAGUACGGCCGCAAGGCUAAAACUCAAAGGAAUUGACGGGGGCCCGCACAAGCGGCGGAGCGUGUGGUUUAAUUCGAUGCAACGCGAAGAACCUUACCAGGGCUUGACAUGCUGGUGGUACGGAUCUGAAAGGUGAAGGACCCUUCGGGGAGCCAGUACAGGUGCUGCAUGGCUGUCGCCAGCU